rnacentral:tRNA from 1 species
UGCCGGAUCGCCGGCAUCGUUGCUCGUUUCGACGAGCGUCGCGGGCGUCUGCAUGCGCAUGCCCGGUGCCAGACCGCAACCGGCAA